AACAGGAUUAGAUACCCUGGUAGUCCACGCCCUAAACGAUGUCUACUAGUUGUCGGGUCUUAAUUGACUUGGUAACGCAGCUAACGCGUGAAGUAGACCGCCUGGGGAGUACGGUCGCAAGAUUAAAACUCAAAGGAAUUGACGGGGACCCGCACAAGCGGUGGAUGAUGUGGAUUAAUUCGAUGCAACGCGAAAAACCUUACCUACCCUUGACAUGGAAGGAAUCCCGAAGAGAUUUGGGAGUGCUCGAAAGAGAACCUUCACACAGGUGCUGCAUGGCUGUCGUCAGCUCGUGUCGUGAGAUGUUGGGUUAAGUCCCGCAACGAGCGCAACCCUUGUCAUUAGUUGCUACGAAAGGGCACUCUAAUGAGACUGCCGGUGACAAACCGGAGGAAGGUGGGGAUGACGUCAAGUCCUCAUGGCCCUUAUGGGUAGGGCUUCACACGUCAUACAAUGGUACAUACAGAGGGCCGCCAACCCGCGAGGGGGAGCUAAUCCCAGAAAGUGUAUCGUAGUCCGGAUUGGAGUCUGCAACUCGACUCCAUGAAGUUGGAAUCGCUAGUAAUCGCGGAUCAGCAUGUCGCGGUGAAUACGUUCCCGGGUCUUGUACACACCGCCCGUCACACCAUGGGAGCGGGUUCUGCCAGAAGUAGUUAGCCUAACCGUAAGGAGGGCGAUUACCACGGCAGGGUUCGUGACUGGGGUGAAGUCGUAACAAGGUAACC
rnacentral:rRNA from 1 species